rnacentral:lncRNA from 1 species
ACAAUAAUAUUUCCCAAUCUCUGGUACAUCUUCGGAAUUCUAAACCAUCUAUGAUGGACUUGGAGGAAUGGAGAAUCCCUACUGACUUCUGCUAAGAGGUCUCUUGCCGUGCCUGCCACUUAAUAAAAUGCUUGUGGACAUUAAAUGUGGUAGCUACGUAUGUGCUUAUUAGGUUAGAGGGCAGAUGUGUUGGAUCCACAGAAAUGAGGUGAAAAUAACAAGAUGGUGAUAACAUUGGCAUUUAAAUAGAACUCCAAAUUGGCAAAUUGUUUAACAUUAUCUCCAAACAAUGAUCUCCCAGCAAUUCUUUAAAGCAGAUUUUAUAGGAAUUAUUGCCAUCUUUCAGAAGGAAACAUGGAAACUCUGCAUUCAAGCAAUUUGUCCAAAGGUACACAGCUAGUCACUGACAGAGCCAGCGUUUGAGCCCAGACUUCUGUGAUUCCCUCUCCACUCUUUGAAAUCCCAAGAAAAGAAUUCUCUUUGGUUUUGUGUGUUCUUAUAAUUCAUACUAUCAAAAUAUUCAUAGCACCAAAAAAAAUAGAACCAGACUUCUAUCCUGUUAGACUUAAAGAGAUCUUAGAGAUCGCCUAAAAUGGUCCAAAAAGACUGCCGGGGUAAAGGAAGAAUAACAAUGCUAGCAAACUGUGUUUGUGAUUCACUAAACUACACACUGAAUGCCACGGAGGUGUCCUCACUUACAUCAGCUUUCUCCUUGCUAGUAACAUUUUCUUUAAUGCCAAGUAACAAAGAGAACACCCCAGGUGUGAUGGCGUGUUUCACCAGGGAGAGAAGAGAAUCCUCAGCAGCCAGUCAAGACUACCUACUGUUUGUGAGAGCUGUGCAGCCUGACAGCCUUGUCACAAUAAACCUCAGAACUUCAGGGAUUACUGGGGAUGCCAGGAGUACAGAGACGCAGUGGAUGCAUCUCCUGGUGUAA